rnacentral:lncRNA from 12 species
AUGGGGCCAAGGGCGGGGCGGGCCCCGCCAUGGCUGGCCGGCCGCUUUCCUCACCUUCCCGAGUGUCCUCUGCCUUCUCCGACCUCAGCUGCGUCCCCUCGGGGUCCCUGCCCCUCGUCAGCGGGCACGUCGCACAGCGAUGCAGCGUCUCCAGGGCCCCUGCUGACUUUGCUGGGAAGGGAAGUCCACCUGCAGACGGCAGGUGGUCACACUGGCACCUCCCUGCGCCCCACAGCCUGCGGCCUCUGGUCUCAUGUGUCCACCGGCUUCUUCUCCCACGGAGGGUGCGGCCAGGGCCGUGGGGGCCACAGCGAUUCCGAGGCCUCCUGCUCCGGGUCCCAGAGAUGCCACGCCGGGCGCUGGGGAGGGCUCCUGGCCGCGCUCACGCUCUCUCCUCUGCCGCCCUCUCCUGGCCCAGGGAGGCGAGGCCCCGGGGGCGCGGGCAGGAGGGAUGCAUCUGCUGGGUUCUCUGUGCCAUCGGCCGGUGUGGCAGGGACAGAGCAGCAAACUGUAAAAGACGACGUGACUUCGGCGUCCGAGCUAGGGAAUCCGAGGCUGUGGGGGGAGCAGGGCACCCGUGCAGGGCUGACGGAAGGUUCUGGAGCUUCCGGGACAGGCGGGGCCAGGAGAGACAAUGAGGAGGGUGUUGCCACCAGACUCAGUGCGCUGCUGUGGAGGAGCCCAGCCCACAGGCCCGUGGCCAAGGGUCAGGACUGCUCUGGGCGUCGCUGCGCCUGACGUGACCGGUUACAGCCCUGGGCGCCGCCCCCUUGGCGGCCUCCAGGACGUGCACCACCAGGUUCCAGGCCCGGUGACUGCGGCAGGUGGCGUGAGAGGCACGAGUCUGCCGCGGUCAUCCAGCAGUACCUGCAGAGCGCACGCACCCCAGCCCCGCCCAGGCCGUGAUGCUGUCACCGGGACGCCCACACUGGCCUGGAUCACGUGGGGGCAGCACAGGCGUCUGCGUGGACGGCAUCCAGUUCUCGCUGCAGCAGCGUGACUCACGGGCCAACGAGGUCCCUUUCUUAGGAACCAGGGAAGUGCCCCAAGAGAAGGGCUCUGUACAGAGACGCGGGGCCGGGGCCGGGCCUGCACAGGACGUCCCCUCCACGGUGGCCGGGAGGCUGCCACGCUCCUGGGGCAGGUCCCCACCCGGCUCCGCGGCCAGCGGCGGGGGCCUCCCCUCCCUGCGUCGACCACAGUGGUGGCCUGUGGGGCAGCAGGUGUCCCCUGGGCAACAGGGAUGUGCAUCGUGUGAGCGGGCCUGAGAAGAGCGCGGACGCCAGCGAGGACCGGGCCGACGUCUGCCUUCCUCUGCGUCUCACACGGUCGGAAGGGCAGUGUUGACGUGCGGGGAAGAGUUCGGACCGUCCGCGGCCCACCUGCGAUGGGCCCCGCGAGGGCGGCUGGAGCGCGGGGAGGGGCGGGCGGGCACCUGGGCGACACAGGUGCUCAGGAGCCGGGGGCGGGAACAGGCCUAGAAGGGCCGGUCUGAGCAGCAGGGGGGACGGACACCGGGUCAGCACCAACCUUCGCGAUGCUGGCAACAGGCGGAAACAAAAGCAAACCCAGGGGAUAAACCCGUGGCUUCUUUUUCUUUCUUUCUUUUUUUUAAAUGAUUUUAUUUAUUUGAGAGAGAGAGAGAGAGAGAGCAAGGGGAGGGACAGGGGUAGGUGAGAGGCAGACGCCCUGCGGAGAGGGAGCCUGAUGCAGGACUCGAUCCCAGGACCCCCGAGAUCACGACCUGAGCAGAAGGCAGGCGCUUUGCCGACAGAGCCCCCCAGGCCCCCACACCAUGUUUUUUUUUUUUUAAUGUUUCUCAGUGGGUUGAGCAUGUGACUUGAUUUCGGCUCCGGUCAUGAUCUCAGGGUCGUGAGGUCGAGUCCCCACGUUGGGUUCCAUGUGGGCUCCACACCGAGCAUGGAGCUUGCUGGAGACUCUCCCCUUACUGCUCCCCACCCCCCUGCAUCUAGCUCUCUUAAAUAAAUAAAUAAAUAAAUAAAUAAAUAAAUAAAUA